rnacentral:rRNA from 1 species
CCUACGGGUGGCAGCAGUGAGGAAUAUUGGUCAAUGGGCGGGAGCCUGAACCAGCCAAGCCGCGUGAGGGAAGAAGGUACAGCGUAUCGUAAACCUCUUUUGUCAGGGAACAAAGGCGGGGACUAGUCCCCGGAUGAGGGUACCUGAAGAAAAAGCAUCGGCUAACUCCGUGCCAGCAGCCGCGGUAAUACGGAGGAGGCGAGCGUUAUCCGGAUUUAUUGGGUUUAGGGGGUGGGCAGGCGGCCUGUUAAGUCAGCGGGAAAAGCCCGGGGCUCAACCCCGGCGAGCCGUUGAAACUGGGGGGCUGGAGUGGGAGAGAAGUACGCGGAAUGCGCGGUGUAGCGGUGAAAUGCUUAGAUAUGGCGCAGAACCCCGAUUGCGAAGGCAGCGUACCGGCUCCACACUGACGCUGAGGCACGAAAGCGUGGGUAUCGAACAGGAUUAGAUACCCGUGUAGUC